ACGUAGGGUGCAAGCGUUGUCCGGAAUUAUUGGGCGUAAAGAGCUCGUAGGCGGUCUGUCGCGUCGGCUGUGAAAUCCCGAGGCUCAACCUCGGGUCUGCAGUCGAUACGGGCAAACUAGAGUAUUGCAGGGGAGACUGGAAUUCCUGGUGUAGCGGUGAAAUGCGCAGAUAUCAGGAGGAACACCGGUGGCGAAGGCGGGUCUCUGGGCAUUACCUGACGCUGAGGAGCGAAAGCAUGGGGAGCGAACAGGA
rnacentral:rRNA from 1 species